AGUGAACGCUGGCGGUAGGCCUAACACAUGCAAGUCGAACGGCAGCACAGUAAGAGCUUGCUCUUACGGGUGGCGAGUGGCGGACGGGUGAGGAAUACAUCGGAAUCUACUUUUUCGUGGGGGAUAACGUAGGGAAACUUACGCUAAUACCGCAUACGACCUACGGGUGAAAGCAGGGGAUCUUCGGACCUUGCGCGAUUGAAUGAGCCGAUGUCGGAUUAGCUAGUUGGCGGGGUAAAGGCCCACCAAGGCGACGAUCCGUAGCUGGUCUGAGAGGAUGGUCAGCCACACUGGAACUGAGACACGGUCCAGACUCCUACGGGAGGCAGCAGUGGGGAAUAUUGGACAAUGGGCGCAAGCCUGAGCCAGCCAUACCGCGUGGGUGAAGAAGGCCUUCGGGUUGUAAAGCCCUUUUGUUGGGAAAGAAAAGCAGCAGGUUAAUACCCCGCUGUUCUGACGGUACCCAAAGAAUAAGCACCGGCUAACUUCGU
rnacentral:rRNA from 1 species